rnacentral:rRNA from 1 species
GAUGAACGCUGGCGGCGUGCCUAAUACAUGCAAGUCGAGCGAACAGACGAGGAGCUUGCUCCUCUGACGUUAGCGGCGGACGGGUGAGUAACACGUGGAUAACCUACCUAUAAGACUGGGAUAACUUCGGGAAACCGGAGCUAAUACCGGAUAAUAUAUUGAACCGCAUGGUUCAAUAGUGAAAGACGGUUUUGCUGUCACUUAUAGAUGGAUCCGCGCCGCAUUAGCUAGUUGGUAAGGUAACCGCUUACCAAGGCAACGAUGCGUAGCCGACCUGAGAGGGUGAUCGGCCACACUGGAACUGAGACACGGUCCAGACUCCUACGGGAGGCAGCAGUAGGGAAUCUUCCGCAAUGGGCGAAAGCUUGACGGAGCAACGCCGCGUGAGUGAUGAAGGUCUUCGGAUCGUAAAACUCUGUUAUUAGGGAAGAACAAAUGUGUAAGUAACUAUGCACGUCUUGACGGUACCUAAUCAGAAAGCCACGGCUAACUACGUG